UACGAAGGGGGCGAGCGUUGUUCGGAUUUACUGGGCGUAAAGGGCGCGCAGGCGGCUAUCCAAGUCAGGCGUGAAAGCCCCGGGCUUAACCUGGGAGGUGCGUCUGGGACUGGGUGGCUAGAGUUCGGGAGAGGAGAGUGGAAUUCCCAGUGUAGAGGUGAAAUUCGUAGAUAUUGGGAAGAGCACCGGUGGCGAAGGCGGCUCUCUGGACCGAGACUGACGCUGAGGCGCGAAAGCGUGGGGAGCAAACAGG
rnacentral:rRNA from 1 species